AGCGAGCGCUGGCGGUAUGCUUAACACAUGCAAGUCGAACGGCAGCACAGUAAGAUCUUGCUCUUAUGGGUUGCGAGUGGCGGACGGGUGAGGAAUACAUCGUAACCUACUUUUUCGUGGGGGAUAACGUAGGGAAACUUACGCUAAUACCGCAUACCCUCUACGGGUGAAAGCAGUGGAUCUUCUGACCUUGCGCGAUUGAAUGAGCCGAUGUCGGAUUAGCUAGUUGGCGGGGUAAAGGCCCACCCCGGCGACGAUCCGUAGCUGGUCUGAGAGGAUGAUCGGCGACACUGGAACGGAGACACGGUCACGACUCCUGCGGGAGGCAGCAGUGGGCAAUGUGGGACAAUAGGCGAAAACCUGAUCCAGCCAUACCGCGUGGGUGGAGAAGACCUUCGGGUUGUGAAGCCGUUUUGUUGGGAAAGAAAAGCAGCAGGUUAAUACGCCGCUGGUCUGACGGUACCCAAAGAAUAAGCACCGGCUAACUUCGUG
rnacentral:rRNA from 1 species